GGCAACACAACAAGGAGUACUUACUUGGAUAGCAGACGCGCUAGCCGACGCUAGCCGCCAACCGCAUCUGUGAUCGGGUGAAGUCCUUCGUCGCGCCGUCGAUCGCUGGAACGCAGGAGCUCCUCGAAGCUACGCUGCAAGCACCGCAGGACACGCCCCCGCACGCGCCACGCAGACCGCGGCCACGCGCCUCCACAGCCGGCGGCAAUCAUCAAUCAACGCACCUGGUCUUGACGAGAAGCAGCAGCAUAAAGGCUCACUCCACUGACUACUCCACGCCGGAACAAAGCCCUGAUUCAUACCUCCGUGUCUCCGCAGUGAGCCGUGCGCCUCACCUGCUGAUCUUCCCCCUGGACUCUGACUGCCUUCCUCGACCUCCGCACUCGGACCUGGACUUCUGGACGCCUCUCUCCUGCCCCCACGGACCUCGCUCGGAUCACAAACCUCUUUUGCUUCGCCCCUCUGGACUUCUUUGCUGCCACAACCAACACACACUUACAAUAACCUCUGGUAACUUAUAUUUGGUUAACUUCUACACAUAGCCCUGCAUCCACACACAUAGUAGCAUACACACCUGACGUAAUCAU